UACGUAGGUGACAAGCGUUGUCCGGAUUUACUGGGCGUAAAGAGCGCGCAGGCGGUCGUUCAAGUCGAGUGUGAAAGCCCCCGGCUCAACUGGGGAGGGUCACUCGAUACUGAUCGACUCGAAGGCAGGAGAGGGAAGUGGAAUUCCCGGUGUAGUGGUGAAAUGCGCAGAUAUCGGGAGGAACACCAGUAGCGAAGGCGGCACUCUGGGCCGUGACUGACGCUGAGGAGCGAAAGCGUGGGUAGGCAAACAGGA
rnacentral:rRNA from 1 species